AUUGAACGCUGGCGGCAGGCCUAACACAUGCAAGUCGAGCGCGAAAGUUCUUCGGAAUGAGUAAAGCGGCGGACGGGUGAGUAAUACAUGGGAAUCUGCCUGGUAGUGGGGGACAACGUUUCGAAAGGAACGCUAAUACCGCAUACGCCCUACGGGGGAAAGGGGGGAUCUUCGGGCCUCUCGCUAUCAGAUGAGCCCAU
rnacentral:rRNA from 1 species